rnacentral:tmRNA from 2 species
GGGGGCGCACCGGUUUCGACGGGGAACAGGGCGGUUCGCGGGUGCGUGCCGAGCUAGCGCUCGUAAAACGGCACUUCACAACUGCCAACGACAACUUCGCCCUGGCGGCUUGAUUGACCGCCACGUUCUGGCCAUGGGCCCUCGUCCACGGCACGGGCCAGAGCGUCGCUAAAGUGGACCGAACGCCACGGUUGGCUCCGUACCGCGGCGGGAUCGUCGAAACGUAGCUGGCGCCUGCGCCGGGGGCCUUCUCCCACUGCGCAGGGGCGAUGACCUGAAACGAAGGCUACGCGCGUAGAUGCUCGCGGGACGCGUUCUCCGGACGUGGGUUCGACUCCCACCGCCUCCACCA